AGUAGUUCCUUCCAAUGUUGUAGAUUUCCAACUUAUCCAGCAGUACCAGUGCUGUUCAUUUCCACUAUAAUGGACAAUUGGAAAGGAGGACAAAGAGGAGAGAAAAGAAAGGGACAUUUUAAUUUCUUGGCAUUUACAACAAAAAUACAGUGAAAAGCUGCAAAAAAUAUACUCAGCCGUACAUGUAUAUGAAAUUACUUUUUCCAGCAUCAGAAAGAUUGGAUUUUUCAAUUGCGACAUUUUCCCAACAAAUCUUCAUUUUCAAGAACGUAUGCUGGUGAUAAUGUAGAAUAAACAACCGCACGCUUUUCAAAUUUCACUACAGACAUGUAUAACGAUUGAAGCCGAUUGCUAGAAUCAGGAAAUAAAUUAAGUAACAUAAA